rnacentral:rRNA from 1 species
GACGAACGCUGGCGGCGUGCCUAAUACAUGCAAGUCGAACGCAGUGGGGACGGGUGAGUAACACGUGGGUAACCUCCCAUCAGAGGGGAUAAAACGUGGAAACAGGUGCUAAACCGAUAUUGAAGGAUGGACCCGCGGUGCAUUAGCUAGUUGGUGAGGUAACGGCUCACCAAGGCCACGAUGCAUAGCCGACCUGAGAGGGUGAUCGGCCACCCUGGGACUGAGACACGGCCCAGUCGCCUACGGGCGGCAGCAGUAGGGUAUCUUCGGCAAUGGACGUAAGUCUGACCGAGCCACGCCGCGUGCGUGAAGAAGGUUUUCGGAGCGUAAAUCUCUGUCUUUGGAGAAGCGGUAUCUAACCAGAAAGCAACGGCUAACUACGUGCCAGCAGCCGCGGUAAUAC